rnacentral:rRNA from 1 species
UACGUAGGUGGCAAGCGUUGUCCGGAUUUACUGGGUGUAAAGGGCGUGUAGGCGGAGCUGCAAGUCAGAUGUGAAAUCCCGGGGCUCAACCCCGGAACUGCAUUUGAAACUGUAGCCCUUGAGUAUCGGAGAGGCAGGCGGAAUUCCUAGUGUAGCGGUGAAAUGCGUAGAUAUUAGGAGGAACACCAGUGGCGAAGGCGGCCUGCUGGACGACAACUGACGCUGAGGCGCGAAAGCGUGGGGAGCAAACAGG